GAGGAUUCCUUUUAUUUAAUUCAAUUGUGCCCCGUUUAAUAGGACUCAAGAAACGUGUACUUGUAAUAUCAUAUAUUCAUCUUUCGAUCGAUCACAAUAUACAAUGUAUCCAUAUGUUAAAGAAAAAUAGCAACAAAAGUUAUGUCUGCAAGCAUUGCCCAAAUAAAAAGACGGUUAAUAAUUAUUUACGAACUGUCUUGAAAUCCGCCACCAAAAACUCAUACAUAUAGCUUGUGCUUUAAUUUAAAAUACCAACAGAAGUAUACUUAUACAAUUUCACAUUAAAAUGACCUGAAAAUAGCUUGACAAAAUUAUUUUACUCUGGUUGGGGGAACGCCAUGCACAACAUGUGACAAUGGCAUUCUAAUCCAAGAAAGAGAAAUGCAGAAUCAAUUUGCU